rnacentral:tRNA from 1 species
GAAGGCAGAGGUCAGUGGUAGAGCACAUGCUUAACAUGCAUGAGGGCCUGGGUUCAGUCCCCAGUACCUCCA